GAGCGCGUGCAAUGCAUGCGCUGGGCUCUCUUCGAUUGCCUACCGAAAUACGGAAAUACCUAUGAGCAUUGGCACCGUUAAGUGGUUCAACGACACCAAGGGCUUCGGCUUCAUCCAGCCUGAGGACGGCAGCAAGGAUGUGUUCGUGCACAUCUCGGCCGUUGAGCGUGCCGGCAUGCGCAACCUCGUUGAGGGCCAGAAGGUCUCCUACGAGAUGGAAACCGACCGCCGCACCGGCAAGCAGUCGGCCGGCAGCCUCCAGGCCGCUUGAGCCCUGCUCGUCAAUCACUGACGCGUUCGGAGCCGCUCCCCAUGGGGCGGCUUCAUCU
rnacentral:misc_RNA from 1 species